rnacentral:lncRNA from 1 species
GAUUUCAUAAGCUUUUAAAUAUGGUUCUAACCAAAAUUUCCAUCCUUAAUAACCCGUAUAACACUUAAUUCAUAAUAUCCCAACCAAGCACAACAAUUUCAAAACAAUAAUCAUUAUGUAUGCUUUCAAUUUCUAUGAACUUAACCAAAUUCAUGGCUUAACUCUUUAUUCUGCUGAAAUUUAAUCUCAGUGAUAAUGAUUCAGUCCAUUCUUUACGCAAAUUAUAGCUUCCCACUCACUUGUAAUUCCAGAUUCUUUACACAACCUCUCUCUUAACCGAACCAAGCAAUUUUUAAAAAU